CGCGUAGGCGGUUAAUUAAGUCAGUUGUGAAAACUCUGGGCUUAACCCAGAGAUUGCAGUUGAUACUGGUCAACUUGAGUGCAGGAGAGGACAGUGGAAUUCCUAGUGUAGCGGUGAAAUGCGUAGAUAUUAGGAGGAACACCAGUGGCGAAGGCGGCUGUCUGGACUGUAACUGACGCUGAGGCGCGAAAGCGUGGGUAGCAAACA
rnacentral:rRNA from 1 species